AUCCUGGGUUCGGUCCCCAGCCCCGGGGGGUGGGAGGGGUUGGCAUGGGUAUCUUCCCUAUGUUCAUGUGCAUUUUAAGAUAACAGAAGAAAGGGCCUCAGUGGCCUGUGAUCCAGAAAUGGCGACUUAGAGCAUACGAAGGCGUCUUUUGCUUGCUUUCUGGGUGAAUUUAGUAGUGUCUCAUUCUACCUCUGCAUCUGCUUAGAAAGAAGGCAAGAGAAGGCCCGUUUUACCUACGUCGGAGCAGCCGUAUGGAUUGUUUGAAUUUGUGCAGUGCAAGCUAAAGUUCCUAGAAAAAUAAAAAGGCACACCUCUGCCAGAGUUAGCUGACUCUGGACCGUUAGCUGCAGACACAAGCCACGUGAUCUCGCACUAUUUUUAGUUCCUUGAAAUUCAUCCAUUGCCUAACCCAGCAUCUGACAGUUUCCUUGCAGCUAUCAGCUUUGGCUGUUCUUCAUCUAGCUCGGCAGACAGGCUGGCCUUGAACUUACAGAGAUCCGGCUAUCUCUGCCUGCAGUGCUGGGAUUAAAGACGUAGGCCACCACUGGAGGGGGGCUUGGUGGUGAAAGCACUGACUGCUCUUUAAGGUGAGAACUGUUUCAUUAACACUGCAAAAGUUGAGUUCGACUCCAAGAAAAGUGAUAAGAGAUUAGUGCUGACACCAUCAAGGGCGCUGCUGAGGAAAUGGAAGUCUGGAAGGGAGGCCUGAGGACACUUGCUGUCUAGGGUCAUCCUGAAUCAUGAGCCAGGGACCUACCCAGAAGAAGCAUAUAGCAUCAGCCACCAAGAAGAACAAUGUGCUAGUGACUUCUCCAUCAUUUCAACAAGAUAUCUGAUGGAGCAACUUAAGGAAGACGGGAUUUAUUGCGGCUCACUGUCCAGAAGCCGCAGCCCACUAUAGCAGAGAAAGCGUGGCUUUGGGCAGUCUCAACUAUAGCAAUCGGAGUGUGAGGCAGGAGGGUCCACACCCAGUUAUACAAGGAAACAGAGAACCAGGGCCAGCUAUGGGACUGAACUUAACCUUCAAUGAAGACCUGCAGCAGCUGCCUAGACGCUAACAUCACAAAGGUUCUACAACAUCCCAAAAUAAGGCCACCAGCUGUGUUCAGAUGCAUGAGACACUUCAAGCAGAAACAGACAGCAACAGAGAAGCUUGUGUUUCUGGGUUGGAACUGUUGGCCACUUCAUGCUCACAGCCAGGUGUAUGUCCACAUUCUAGACCAACAAUCAGAGUAGGGCUGUGCAAAGAGAAGAAGGGAGCAAAGAGAGCCUGGGACACCCAGAGGCAUCCUUCAUCAUCCACCACCAUCUGCAAGAGUUCCGGGGGGUGGGGGGGAGAAUACCUUCUUUUGCUGCCUCUAAUUUCUUGCACCUCUUAACUAGAAAUGAAUUCUGGCCAUCACCUGGAGUGGGGAGCAUCCCAACAUGGUGUUCAUACAUCUCAGUCCACGAAACAAAGCACUCAUCAAGGUGCCAAAAAAAUACUGGCCGGAUUCAGAAAAGGCCAUCCAAAGGUUGGAGUUUGGGGACAGACUCCAUACAUUUGCUAUGGAAAGAGUCAUUUCACGGCAAGAGCAUUCAUUGCGUUGAUAGCUGGCAUGUGACAGAUUCUCCACUGAGCGGAUAUACCCCAUGAUGUAUACUGUCUCUAUGACUGACAUCAACACUCUUCUCCAAAAAUUUCUCCAGCAAAAUCCCUGUUUGUUUGUGGAACAGUCUCAACCAGGUUCCAGCAGCUCCAAUUAGUUCACAAAUGGUGGCUGGAGACAGGAAGUAAUGGGAAAUGAAAAGAGCAACUUCCUGCUUGUUUCCCAGUUAGGAUUUCCAUCAAUAGUUGUGAGAUCAAAUUUGUUCUCACAACCCCAAUGGACAGCAACUGGAGAUCACAUCCACUGCUGUGUAGCUGGACUUAAGAUUUCUCAAACAGGACCUUCGUGUCAGGAGUACGGCAGUGCUCUGGCCUAUGCUGUAAUCUGAUCUCACAGACGCCAAGGGCUUGGGCUUUCUUCCUUUCUGGCUGAUAAAAGUUGAAAAUGUCAGACCCAGACUUUCCUCUCCAGUCAGGAGCUGCCUUGAAGCUCACGCCUACUCAGACUGAGGAAGAGGAUUUAACCUAGGCAAUAGGCAUGCAUGCAUGCAUGCAACCCUUUCACUCUCUGCCUUGUUUGGUUUUCUGAGGCAGGGUUUCUCUGUGUAGCCCUGGCUGUCCUGGAACUCGCUCUGUGGACCAGGCUGACCUUAAACUCACAGAGAUCCACCUACCUCUGCCUUCUCUGCUGCAGCUACAGACAUAUAUGCCACCACCGCCCUGCUCGCUCUGCUUUUGACUGUCGACUCAAUCAAUGUGACCAGCUCUCUCAAGUUCCUGGAUCUAUGACUCCCCCCAGGUGAUGGGCUGUCACCAGAAAUUGUGAACUGAGAAACUCUGACUCCACAGUUGCUUUUUAUCAGGUAACAGAAAUGAAACUAAAACCUUGCUACUUGCCAGAAGGAAGUCUGAAAAGCACAUGUAUCAAGAAAUCAACGUCUAGAAGAGAGCAGUAUCAGGUCUUUGGCUGUGUCUCCUCUAAGCCUCACCAUCUACACCUUCGCAAGAUCCUCACCAAUCCUUCAACCCUAUAUAGACAUCGGUGUUUCCCAAGAGCACUGAGCAGCUCCGGUCUGAAUCAUCCUCCAUGCGCUUUAUUAUAUAUGCAGGUUACGAGCAUGUUGGCUCAGUUCCUGACCCACUCAACGGGUUUUAGUUGCUCAAGGGCAGAUUGCAAUAAAACUCAUCUUGCCACUUGGACCCAGUGCUGUGUUUCACCCUCAAGACAAGCUUUGAGUCAUUGCUUGAACUCUCUGCCCCGAACACCCUUUCCUAGGUGGCACCAAAGGAAGAACCUACAAGCUAUCCUCUGUCAGAACCAAGAUAAAAAUCUCGAUCUUGCCGAGCAUCAGUGGACACCUAGAGUAGACAUGUAAGUAUGGCAAAGGGCUUUCCGGUGCUUGGCCCAGCGUGCAAAGGAUCUGAAGGUGCUGCUACAUGGAUUGCUGCUUUUUAGUCACACAAGUGUCCAUGCACACAUAUAAACACAUGUACAUAAACACAUGUGUAAUUUGUAAAAUACAAAACCAUUUCAAGUCACCAUUGACUCUAAUUUCUUGCCAUAUAUUUCUCUCUCUCUCUGUCUCUCUCUCUCUGUCUCUCUCCCUCUCUCUCUCUCUCUCUCUCUCUCUCUCUCUCUCUCUCUCUCUCUGUGUGUGUGUGUGUGUGUGUGUGUGUAUGUGUGUGUUGGGAGAGAGGCAAGUAAAUGCCAUAGCACAUGUGUGGAGAUCAGAGGACAACUUUCAAGAAUCCAUUCUCUGCUUCCACAUGGGAUUCAGGGAUAGAAUUCAGAUCAUCGGACUUGUGCAGCAAGCACCCUAUAUGGGCAUGCACACACACACACACACACACACACACACACACACACACACACACACCCCACAGAUAUACAGACACAUACACAUAGUGCACAGACAGACACACACAGAGACACAGACACAUACUACACACAGAGAUACACAUACAUACCACAGACAGACAUACAGACACACACACACACACACACACACACACACAAACACACACCCCACAUGCACUCAUGUGGAGGUCAGAGGUUAACAGCAAGGAUCAUUUUGCAGGCUAGUUUUGUGUCAAUUUGAUGUAAGCUAGACUCAUUUGGGAAAAGGGACUCUCAAUUAAGAAAAUGCUUUCGUGGGUUGGGGAUUUAGCUCAGUGGUAGAGCGCUUGCCUAGCAAGCGCGCAAGGCCCUGGGUUCAGUCCCCAGCUCCGAAAAAAAAAAAAAAUGCUUUCGUAAGAUUGUCCUGUAGGCAGAUCUGGAGUACAUUUUCUUAAAUCCUGAUUGAUGUGGUCAGGCCACCCCUGGGCAAGGGUACUGCAUUGUGUAACAAAGCAGACUGAGCAGUCAUGAGGGGUAAGCCAGUAAGCAUCCUCCUCCAUGGCCUUUGCUUCCGUUCCUGCCUUGUUUGAGUGCCUGCCCUGACUUCCUUCAAUGAUGACUGAUAUGACAGCAUAAUAAACCCUUUUCACCCCAA